rnacentral:misc_RNA from 1 species
AAAGUCGUAACAAGGUUUCCGUAGGUGAACCUGCGGAAGGAUCAUUAAAAUGUAAGGGCCCCGGGGGGCCGUCUAAACAACACCCGUGAGCCCUACGGCCAGCAGGCCGGAACGGUUUAACCCACUGUGAAAACCCUUGUUGCUUCGGCAGCGCCUCCCCCCGGGGAGGGUCAGCCUGCCGGCGGCACAACAGCAAAACCCUUUUUAUGCGAAAAGCAGUUUUUAAAAACGUCUGAGAGCGCAGUCGAAUGACACUUAAAACUUUCAACAACGGAUCUCUUGGUUCCC